rnacentral:rRNA from 1 species
CGCGCGAUACAGGGUGACAGCCCCGUACACAAAAAUGCACAUGCUGUGAGCUCGAUGAGUAGGGCGGGACACGUGGUAUCCUGUCUGAAUAUGGGGGGACCAUCCUCCAAGGCUAAAUACUCCUGACUGACCGAUAGUGAACCAGUACCGUGAGGGAAAGGCGAAAAGAACCCCGGCGAGGGGAGUGAAAAAGAACCUGAAACCGUGUACGUACAAGCAGUGGGAGCACGCUUAGGCGUGUGACUGCGUACCUUUUGUAUAAUGGGUCAGCGACUUAUAUUCUGUAGCAAGGUUAACCGAAUAGGGGAGCCGAAGGGAAACCGAGUCUUAACUGGGCGUUAAGUUGCAGGGUAUAGACCCGAAACCCGGUGAUCUAGCCAUGGGCAGGUUGAAGGUUGGGUAACACUAACUGGAGGACCGAACCGACUAAUGUUGAAAAAUUAGCGGAUGACUUGUGGCUGGGGGUGAAAGGCCAAUCAAACCGGGAGAUAGCUGGUUCUCCCCGAAAGCUAUUUAGGUAGCGCCUCGUGAAUUCAUCUCCGGGGGUAGAGCACUGUUUCGGCAAGGGGGUCAUCCCGACUUACCAACCCGAUGCAAACUGCGAAUACCGGAGAAUGUUAUCACGGGAGACACACGGCGGGUGCUAACGUCCGUCGUGAAGAGGGAAACAACCCAGACCGCCAGCUAAGGUCCCAAAGUCAUGGUUAAGUGGGAAACGAUGUGGGAAGGCCCAGACAGCCAGGAUGUUGGCUUAGAAGCAGCCAUCAUUUAAAGAAAGCGUAAUAGCUCACUGGUCGAGUCGGCCUGCGCGGAAGAUGUAACGGGGCUAAACCAUGCACCGAAGCUGCGGCAGCGACACUAUGUGUUGUUGGGUAGGGGAGCGU